UACGGAGGGGGCUAGCGUUGUUCGGAAUUACUGGGCGUAAAGCGCACGUAGGCGGCUUUGCAAGUUAGAGGUGAAAGCCCAGGGCUUAACCCUGGAAUUGCCUUUAAAACUGCAUCGCUAGAAUUGUGGAGAGGUGAGUGGAAUUCCGAGUGUAGAGGUGAAAUUCGUAGAUAUUCGCAAGAACACCAGUGGCGAAGGCGGCUCACUGGCCCGGUACUGACGCUGAGGUGCGAAAGCGUGGGGAGCAAACAGG
rnacentral:rRNA from 1 species